UAUUAUUAUUUUUGUUUAGAACUUUCCAACUUUCUGAGUGCACUGAUAAUAUCCAUAUCAACCCAUUACUACUUUGUUUUUUUCUAAAUGAAGAUGGCUGUGCCCAACUGUGGGUCAUUAAUAGGGUGAGAAUGAUUGUUAUAUAUUGGACUCUACUAAAGAGCCUUUCAAAAUGGAAAGCUGGAGAUUUGAGUCAUGUAGCUAUUGGACCCAAAUGUGGACCAAACAACACUUCACCUUUGACCCCUAUGGAAAAGCGUAUUAUUGAGAUAAUUUGAAGUGUAUAUAGAGGAAAAUACUAAAUUCCAAUAUCCUAUGAGAGUGUAGAGGAUACCACCCCAUGGUCCACAGAUGUUGAAAGCAAGAGACUGGAAAGUCAGACAUAAAUAAUAGAAGAAAUUCAAGGGGUCAAAUAGGCUGUGCAAGCAUAAACUAUUGCAUUGAACAGUAUAGGAGAGUUACUGUCAGGAUGGAUAGAAAAUUCUACUGCGCACUAACCACAGUCUUCCAUUUAAAUUAAGUAAUAAUUUUAAAUAUUUAAGUUGAUUGUUGUGUUGUAAACGUUUACUGCGGUUACUGUAGACUUCACUUGGAUAGGAUUUUCGAAUUCUUUUUUCAAACAACCAUUUUAGAGGAUAAAUACUAAACCAUGAAAUUGGAGCUCUUAUUUAAUUGCUGUAAUGACCUUCUUCCAGACAAACUAAACUCAAAUUAUAGCAUUGAAAUGUGAGCUUAAUGUCAUUUGGCAUUAAGUGUUGUUUAAAGUAAAAUAAAAGUCAAAUAUAUUUUAAAUUAUAAGUACUGUAUUACUUAAUAUUAUGUCUCCCUUGAUGCUAGCGGUGAUAUUAUCGGUGAUGCUUGAUGACGGUGCAGUGGGUAGGAGCUCGACUACUUCCCAUAAAGUGCCCGUGUCAGUUGGCUAUUUGAUGGAUUUUUUUUAAUUGUUACCUUUCUUCUAAAUUGUUUUUGUUAAAAAAUAAUAUAAAAAUGUAAAUACUGUUCAUUUUUUUAUAAAAUUCACAUAAUAUUUCGGAACCGACAGGAUUUGAACAUGCGUCUAAGCUACGGGUCUGAUGCCGCCGAUAUCGGAGUAUGCAUUUGAAAAAUAAAAUCGAUGUUUCCUCCAAGUGUAGAUAUAAACAAUUCAUUAACUAUUAUAAUAAAGUAAUGUGUCAUCUUCUGUCAAAAAGUUUCUCACUGGACAAAAAGGCAUAUACAAAUUUGGAUUAAGGUAAAGCAUACAGGCCGCGAUUGCAAGAGAGUCGUAGAUACAAACCAUGUCGAUUCGUAUAAAGCUGUAAUUUCCUUUUUAACAAAAAUGAUAAAACUUUGGGCAAUUAAGAUAAAAUAUACAACUUGGUGGCAUUAUCAUAUAGCGAUAUUAUCCAGGCGACUAAGCGUAAAAAAACCUUUAGGUGCAAAGAAACUGCUACAAUACAACACAUACCUUUUGUUAUCACCGAUUUUUGAUUGGAUGAAAGUUUAUUUGGGCGAUACUAAAUCGUACUGAAUCGUUUUUUUUUCCAUAGACAUCGCCUCAAUCAUUAGGCAUUCUAUAUAGGCCAUGACUCGUAAUAGUAGGUUCAUUUUUAAUAGUGACAAAAAAAAAAAAAAAAAAAUUGACAGAUUUUGAUAUAUCAUGAAUUAUAUUAGUCAUUCUUAACCCGGGUGGCUAGUUUGAGACUUUCUACCUAGGUUUACUUAUCGGAUUGCGUGGAAUCUUACAAUCAUUUUUUGGGCAUCGAAAGCGCCAUCUCGUUUGAAUACUGAGAAACGGUGUUUCCACUAGAUGGCGCUCUUUCCAGUAAAUCUAAAAGUCAAAGUCAAAGUCAAAUAUUUCUUUAUUUAAAUUGGCACAUAGAGGGCAGUUUUGGUGCGUUCAUGACAUUCAAAAUGUGUACAUAAUAGUAAGUAGUGAUGGCGAUACAUUCGU